UCCCACGCAACGGCGGCCGCGACGUCGCUCCCAUGGCAACCCAGAAGGUCACUCCCAGACUCCUUGCGGAGCUGGCCGCCUGAUUCUAGGCUGGUCCCUACUCCGAGCGUGUGACGUUUGCUGCAGCCCGGCCGUCGACGAUGUCCAGUGAAACUCUCUGGGAAAUUGCAAAAGCUGAAGUGGAAAAAAGAGGAAUUAAUAGAAGUGAAGGUGAUGGAGCUGAAAUUGGAGAAAAAUCUGUUUUCUUCAUUGGCAGUAAAAAUGGGGGAAAGACUACUAUUAUUCUAAGGUGUCUUGACAGAGAUGAGCCACCAAAACCAACCUUAGCUUUGGAAUAUACAUAUGGAAGAAGAGCAAAAGGGCACAACACACCAAAAGAUAUCGCUCACUUUUGGGAACUCGGUGGAGGAACCUCUUUAUUGGACUUAAUCAGCAUACCCAUCACAAGUGACACCUUACGGACGUUUUCUGUUGUUCUCAUUCUGGAUCUUUCAAAACCUAAUGAUCUUUGGCCCACCAUGGAAAAUCUCUUGCAAGCCACAAAAAGCCAUGUAGACAAAGUGUUAAUGGAACUGGGAAAGACAAAUCCUAAAGCAGUUUCUGAAAUGAGACAGAAGAUCUGGAAUAAUAUGCAGAAGGAUCAUCCUGAUCGUGAAUUAAUUGACCCAUUUCCAGUACCUCUGGUCAUAAUUGGAAGUAAAUAUGAUAUUUUUCAGGAUUUUGAGUCUGAGAAGAGAAAGGUAAUAUGCAAGACACUUCGAUUUGUUGCACAUUAUUAUGGAGCAUCAUUAAUGUUUACCAGUAAAUCAGAAGCUCUAUUACUAAAAAUACGUGGAGUUAUCAACCAGUUGGCAUUUGGCAUUGACAGAAGCAAAUCAAAAUGUGUGGAUCAGAAUAAACCGCUGUUUAUCACAGCAGGAUUGGAUUCUUUCAGUCAAAUAGGAUGUCCUCCUGUUCCUGAAAAUGACAUUGGAAAGCUUCGUGCCCACUCACCAAUGGAGUUGUGGAAAAAAGUGUAUGAAAAGCUCUUUCCACCAAAGAGUAAUAACACGCUGAAAGAUAUCAAGGACCCUGCGAGAGAUCCUCAGUAUGCUGAAAGUGAAGUCGAUGAGAUGAGAAUUCAGAAGGAUCAGGCACAUCUAAGGAGAUAUCCUAUCAAGAAGCAGCACAAAACAUCAUGUGUUGGGGAUAACCAGGAUUAUUUCCAAGGUGGGAUAGCCUUUAAGAAGCCGUUCCAAUCUGUAGAUUUGUGUACCUGCUAGCCAAGUUCAUUUUGAAUGAGGUCUUGCUCUGUCACCCAGGCUAGAGUGCAAUGGCAUGAUCACGACUCCCUGCAGCCUUGACCUACUGGGCUCAAGCGAUCCUCUCACCUCAGCCUACCAAGUAGCUGGGACCACAGGUUCUUCCAAGGACAGAAGCAGAUCUGCCAUGCUACCUCCUUUAUUAUCAUCAGCACUUCCUUCCCACUGAAUUGCUUGUCAGGAUUUUACACGCUGUGGGCUGGAUUUGCUCAGAAAGGACUCUCAAUUGCUCCCAGGGAGCUGUGCCCCUUGAAGGAGGCAUGUCCACCUGUCAUUGGUUCCCUGGGUGCUCGUGGGCCUUCCCAGUCUAGAGAGAAAUGAAGCAGUUUCCAGGUAAGGUCCCCGGUGAGUUUACCUGUGGCUACGUCCAAACUGGAGACAAUUAAGAAAGAGAUUGGAACCUAGAAGGAGUUGACAAUUCAAUCGUUUCUUCCUUCAUUAACUCAGUCCAGUUUGGAUGAGGCACAUUCAAGAUGCCUCCAAGCAAGCUGAGAAAAAUCAGUGGCAAAAAUAACUAUAUCUGUUCAAACAGGGAACUUGUAGAACAGCAUGGUGCCAGAGAAGGGUAAUGCAAGCCACAGACAGAAGUGAAAUAUUUCAGUAGCCAAAUUUUGAAAAGUAAAAAGAAACAGGUGAAAUUAAUUUUAAUAACAUAUUAUUUAUAGCCAAAAAUACCAUUUCAACCUGUAAUCAAUACUUUUUGGAAUUUAUUUAUUUAUUUAUUUGGUUGGGAGAGACAGGGUCUCCUUUUGUCCUUCAGGCUGCAGCGCAAUGGUGCAAUCAUGGCUCACUGCAGCCUCAACCUCCUGGGUUCAAGAGAUCCUCCUGCCUCAGCCUCCUUAGCAGCUGGGAGUGGAGGCACACGCCACCACACCCAACUAAUUUUUGUAUUUUUUGUAGAGACUGAGUCUCGCUAUGUUGUCCAGGCUGGUCUCAAACUUCUAGACUCAAGCAGUCCUCUCGUCUUGGCCUUCCAAAGUGCUGGGAUUACAGGUGUGAGCCACCCUGCCCGACCUAAAAAUUCUUAAUGGGCUUUUUCACGUUCUGUUUUUCUCAGACUCAGAGUCUGAAAUCUGAUGUGCAUUUUGCGCUCACUGCACGUUUCAGUCUGGACUAGUGACAUUUCAAGUGCUCCAAAGGCACAUGUGACUAGGGGCUGCCCUCUCGGGCAGCACAGGGUGCACGGUGCAGGGCGCAGGGCGCGCUCUAGAGUGGAGUGACGAGCAAAAGGGAGGAAUGGUCAAGCGUAGGCGAAGAGAGGAGUGCAGCGCGGGGUGCAAAGGGACUCAGUUUGCCCGCUGUGAGCGGGGGGCUGCACCCACCUUCUUCUGGAAGAAGCCGGGGUUGCCGCGGCGGAUGGCCAGCAGCGCGGUGUAGCGCAGCGUCUCGCGCACGGUGAGGCUGCUCAGCAGGGUGUCGCUCUGCAGGAGACUCGGGCGUCAGUGUAGCCCGAACCCCCGGGGCGGGCGGGAGGCCAGGGAUGUGGGGGAAGCGCCCACCUGCAGGACGUAGGAGAAGCAGUCCUGGAACUGCUCCCGGCGCAGCGCCCGGCCGUUCACAUACACCUCCCCCAGGAAGGUCCCCGUGCGCCGCAGCCUCCCGGAUAUGGCGUCCAGCAGCGUGGUUUUCCCGGAGCCUGCGGGGCGACAAAAGAAGGCCCUGGAGGAACCCCUCUGUGCCAGCCUUGGAGGAGCUUCCCGAGACCCUCAGUGCGGGCAUGACCCCGCGGGCCAGGAGUGCUACGUGACGGACCCUGUUCUAGUUAUUAAGGAUACAGCAGGAUACAGGCCCUCCCCUGUAGAACGCGCACUGUGCAUGCAGCAGUCUCACGCGCAAAUGAGUCUCUGGAUUGUUCCCUGAGUGAGAGGGGACAUACCAUUUCUGUCAUCUGGGUCAAGACCGAACGUGCUUUCUCUGCUUGUUUAUUUGCCUUUAAAACUGUUUUGGAUUGAAAAACAAAAUACUUAUAGGUAUCAGAAUAAGAGGAAAGCCAAGACUCUUGGAAACGUUUGGAUCCUAGGACGGAUUUCUUUCUGUGCCCCCCUGGAUGGUCUGGUUGUACCUGGAUGUAGGUGACAUUGUCUAGAGCCUUGCUCACAAAGCAAGCAGCAUCAGCGACCCCUGAGAGCUUGCCAGAAACGCAGAGCCCCAGGCCGCACCUGAGACCUGCUGAGUCAGAUCUGCAUCAGUCAAGUUUGAGAAGCACUGGCUUGUUAAGUCCUUUGGUAAGACCAAGUUGGCCACAGCCUGCACUACAGCCUGGGGCAUAGCCUAGCUGGAUGUCACUAGGAAGGUUCCCACAGAGGGGUUGUGGUGAACUAACUGCCUGCUGGAUGUGACUGGGGGAUGAUGCUUCCCUUGGUUUGCUUUUUUCUUGAGUGAGACUGAAUCUCCCUCUGUCACCCAGGCUGGAGUGUAGUGGCACAGUCUCAGCUCACUGCAACCUCUGCCUCUCAGGUUCAAGCCGUUCUCUUGCCUCAGCCUCCUGAGUAGCUGGGAUUACAGGCAUGCACCACCACACCUGGCUAAUUUUUGUAUUUUUAUAGAGAUGAGGUUUCACCAUGUUGGCCAGGCUGGUCUUGACCUCCUGACCUCAGGUUAUCCUCCUGCCUCAGCCUCCCAAAGUGCUGGGAUUACAGGCGUGAGCCACUGCUUUUUUCUAAGGUUAAAGUUUAGGUGAUGCCUUUAGGACAGGAGCCUGAGGGCCCCUCAGUCAUAUUGGACACAAGUUUACCAUAGGCCCAGAGUUCAUGGAGACAGAAUAGACCUCCUAGGCCUUUCCUAUCCAAAGAGGCUGAGAGGUUGGGAUUCGUAACAGAGAAAUAGGCAGGAAGUUCUGAACUAUCUGGGAAGAUAGCAAGAGAAAUCUACUGAUGAGAUGGCUUGUGCAGAGCCAAAGAGAUCUUUUGUUGAAAUAUUAUUAUUAUUAUUAUUUUGAGACAGAGUAUCCCUCUGUUGCCCAGGCUGGAGUGCAGUGGUGCAAUCUUGGCUCACUGCAACCUCCGCCUCCCAGGUUCAUGACAUUAUCCUGCCUCAGCCUCCCGAGUAGCUGGGACUGCAGGCAUCCGCUACCACGCCCGGCUAAUUUUUUUUUGUAUUUUUAGUAGAGAUGGGGUUUCACUGCAUUAGCCAGGAUGGUCUCAAUCACCUGACCUCAUGAUCUGCCCACCUCGGCCUCCCAAAGUGCUGAUAUUACAGGCGUGAGCCACCGAGCCUGGCCCUUUAUUUAUUUAUUUAUUUAUUUAUUUUAUUCAUUUAUUUAUUUAUUGAGAUGGAGUCUCACUCUAUUGCCCAAGUGGGAGCGCAGUGGCAAGAUCUCAGCUCACUGCAACUGCGGUCUCCCAGGUUCAAACAAUUAUCUUGCCUCAGCCUCCCGAAUAGCUGGGAUUACAGGCGUGUGCCACCACACCUGGCUAAUUUUUGUAUUUGUGUAGAGACGGGGUUUCACUACAUUGGCCAGGCUGGUCUUGAACUCCUGACCGCAGGUGAUCCGCCCGCCUCGGCCUCCCAAGGUGCCGGGAUUACAGGUAUGAGCAACCGCACCUGACCCUUGUUGAAAUAUUUUAAAGAAACUUGCUUGUUGCUGUGAGAGGCACAAAGAUGAAUCAACUCCCUUAGCAGUUGUCUUCUUUUCUAAUGCAUCAUUGACAAAACUCAGAAUUAGCCCCUGCGUGUUCAGGGGGUGGUCAGAGUGGGGAAAGAGAGGAAAACUCAUUAUAAAGAAACAAAAUGUGACUUCAUUGGGAUUGUCUUUCAAAAUGUGCACUGUAAUUUCCCAGUCGUGUGGUUCUUCUCACCAGAGCCAUCCUGGCUUUACAUUUUUUGGAUCCAAUCUGAACUCUGGCAGAAGCUGCAAAUAUCCUGCAGCCUGGGUCGCAGCCCCACCACUUCAUCAAAACUGGCCUCCCCAGGGAUAUUAAAGCCACUUUAUUGUUGCCAAA